GUUACUUCGGUACAUCGGUGACAGGUGGUGCAUGGUUGUCGUCAGCUCGUGUCGUGAGAUGUUGGGUUAAGUCCCGCAACGAGCGCAACCCCUAUUGUUAGUUGCCAUCAUUCAGUUGGGCACUCUAGCGAGACUGCCGGUAAUAAACCGGAGAAGGUGGGGAUGACGUCAAGUCCUCAUGGCCCUUAUGGGUAGGGCUUCACACGUCAUACAAUGGUCGGUACAGAGGGUUGCCAAGCCGCGAGGCGGAGCCAAUCCCACAAAGCCGAUCGUAGUCCGGAUUGUUCUCUGCAACUCGAGAGCAUGAAGUCGGAAUCGCUAGUAAUCGCAGGUCAGCAUACUGCGGUGAAUACGUUCCCGGGUCUU
rnacentral:rRNA from 1 species